UAUAUUUUAGUGUAAGAAGCACAAUAACUUUUGAAGUUAUAAGAUUUAGUUUAAUUCUAUAAAAUAUAA
rnacentral:tRNA from 1 species